rnacentral:rRNA from 1 species
AGACAGAGGUGGCAAGCGUUGUUCGGAUUUACUGGGCGUAAAGAGCAUGUAGGCGGUUAGAUUAGUCAGUUGUGAAAUCCUAUGGCUUAACCAUAGAAUUGCAUCUGAUACUGUCUAGCUAGAGUGCAGGAGAGGAGAGUGGAAUUUCCAGUGUAGCGGUGAAAUGCGUAGAUAUUGGAAGGAACACCGGUGGCGAAGGCGGCUCUCUGGUCUGUAACUGACGCUGAGAUGCGAAAGCGUGGGUAGCAAACAGGAUUAGAAACCCCGGUAGUCC